GAAAAAAACGGCACACCUACACAACACAAAACAUGAAAAGAAACGACAAACCAAAUCCAAGAAACAAUAUGUCUCGCUUUUGUUUCUUCAAUUUUGUUGGUUGUUCAUUUUUCAUGAUUUUGUUCUUUUCUUUUUUUUCAGACAACUCACUGCUUUGAUUUUUAUGACGAGAACUAGAUACAUAUGGGUGUGUGUGUGGAACAGAAAGAAAGAGACA
rnacentral:RNase_P_RNA from 14 species